rnacentral:lncRNA from 1 species
UUCUAUAGUUAUUCUUGAGAACUAUAGACAAGAAAUGAGAGAGAACUGGGAUAGUCUAAGGCCACAUGGAGAUCUGUCUUGCACUAUGUUGACUUAGUUUAGAGGCCCCGGCUGGAGAGGAGUCAGGCCCUUUUCUUGUGGGGUCAAUUAAGUCCGAUCCUCAAUUACCUCCUUGUUUGUCUCUCAGACCCUUGGCCGCUAUUCAGUCGCCAUAUGUGCCUCGGAGCCAGGAACCACAAAAAAAGGUUUUCGCCUACUGCUGCCCUUUAUCCCUCUGGCUCAACUCUGACGCUGGUGCUCCCACGAGUGGCCCCCUGUGGCAUGGCACGCUGUGUUCUCCCCAGGGAACUGUUUAGGAGACAGGAUGUCUGAGGUCAGAAGUUCCCCCUGGUGACCAAACCAGUUAAGACUGAUGAGAUUCAAGAUCCAGCUCACUUCGCCUUUGAAGAACCUCCAACUUCAUUAUAAUUUAUUUUCCAUACUAAAUGACACUCCCACCAGUGCCAUGACAGUUUAUAAUCACCAUGACAAUGACCAGAAGAAAUUAUGAAAGGACAAAAAGGAAGACCACAACUCCGGUUCUGAGGAAUUCUCCACCCAUUCCCAGAAAAGACAAGAAUACUCCUCCCCUUGUUUUUAAUGCCCAAACCCUUCAUUAAAGAUGUCCCAUAUCUGUGACUUCCUGUCUCUCAUUAAUUGAGAAGUUAAUCUGUGA